rnacentral:lncRNA from 10 species
AUCCAAAGCAGUGUUCUGUGCACGCUGGGGGUUUUGCUUUGAAAUGGUGGUGCUGUGUGCUGUUCAUUCUUCAUACAGUCAGGGUUCCUACUUCUGGGCAGGGAAUUCAGGUGCCAGAGAUAGAUAAAUACUUCAGCUUAAAAAAGGGAAAGAAGAGGAGGAGGAGGAGGAAGAGGAGAAGGAGGAGGAGGAAGCAGAGAAGGAGGAGGAGGAGGAGAAAAGGAUUUGAAGAAAUUGAAUCAGUUCUGGAACAGCAGACACAGCAGUUCUGAAAUCAAAGUGCCUAAAAGGAGUCCACCCGGAUAUGUGGAAGCAAGAGGGAGUUAAUGACAAUGGAUUCACAAUGCUGAAGCUCGAAAAUUCUGGGAAUUUGAGGCCCCAAGACACCCCAUAGGUGGGGUACAGGGUAUCACUCUGCUGCCCAGCUCACUGCAACUUCCACAUCCAGAGCUCAAGCCAUCCUACCACCUCAGCCUCCUGAGUAGCUGGGACUACAGGCACACACCACCAUGCCCAGCUGAUUUUUAUAUUUUUUUUGGUACAGAUGAGGUUUCACCACGUUGCCCAGGCUUGAACCCCUAAGCUCAAGUGAUCCGCCUGCCUGGGCCUCUUAAAGUUCUGGGAUUACAAGCAUGAACCACUGCACCCAGCCAAUUCAUAUAUUUUAAUGUUUCCUUUUUUUUUUGGAGACUGAGUCUUGCUCUGUCACCCAGCCUGGAUCUUGUCUCACUGCAACCUCUGCCUCCUGGAUUCAAGCAAUUCUCCUGCCUCAGUCUCCCAAGUAGCUGGGAUUACAGGCUCAUGCCACCAUGCCUGGCUAAUAUUUUUGUAUUUUUAGUAGAGGCAGGGUUUCUCCAUGUUGGCCAGGCUGGUCUCAAACUCCUGACUUCGUGAUCCGCCUGCCUUGGCCUCCCAAAGUGCUGAGAUUACAGGCGUCAGCCAUCACGCCUGGCCUUUAACUGUUUCUUUAUAAGAAAUUGUUUAGACCAGAAAUGUAACUAAAUUACAAGGUAAAUGCCCUAAAGAGAAACUUAUGCAUGGUCCCUUCCUUUGAUGGAAAUGUCUCCCCCUCAAAAGGUAGAUCGCACCACAUACAGCAGCUACAUGUUAAAAAGAAAUAAAAACAUUGUCUUUUGUUUUAUAAUAAUCAAUAAAAAGUAUUUACAUUGUCAAUCCAAGAAAAUGAUGAGAAAAGUCUCCAUCAUUUUUGGAGAUUUAUUUGCCAAAGUUAAGGACGUGCCCGGGAGACAGGUCUAUGUCUUUCUCCGAAGAUGAUUUGAGGGCUCCAAAUUUAAAGAGAAAAGCACAGAAUUUUCGCAUCAACAAAAGAGGGCAGAGGAAAAAUGUGGGAAUCUGCAUUUUACAUAAGAUAAUGAAACCGCCUUUGCAAAAUUAUGACUGAGAGAGUGCAAGAGAUCUAACUUAACCGACUCCAUCUUGCUUCUAACCUCCAAGCUGUCCUCGUUCAUUCCUGGUGAUAGGCUGAACUAACUUUGGGAGAAACCUAGUUUACAGUUUAUAGUUUAAGCAAAGAUGCUAACAGCCCUUUCCCAAAGCAGACCUUCUUCUUGCUUGGGGACUAGAUUGCCUUUGUAGGACUAACAUUAGCCACAAGAUUAGAAAUUACGAUUUAGGAGUCAUGCAGAUGGAGGCUAAAGAAGACUCUGACACUCCCUAAACUGCUCCUAAGAGCAGGGCUUGAGAGGUUUUGCAGACCCUGCACUUGAUGGAUCAGCUGGCACCACCCAGAUCAAUAAACUGGCUCAUCUGAUCUUGUGGCCCCCACCCAGGAACUGACUUAGCGCAAGAAGACAGCUACGAUUCCGUAGGAUUUCACCCCUGACCAAUCAGCACUCUUGGCUCACUGGCUUCCUCCCCACCCAUCAAGUUAUCCUUAAAAACUCUGCUCCCUGAAUGCAUGGGGACACUGAUUUGAGUAAUAAUAAAACUCCGGUCUCCCGCACAGCUGGCUCUGCAUGAAUUACUCUUUCUC